GCUGAACCGGUACUAGGGGGGACCUUUAGUCCCCACCCUUUAGUGCCGGUUACAAAACCGGCACUAAAGGGCCUUUCGAACCGGUGAUAAUGCCCGAUUCUGCACUAGUGAGUGUGUCAUCGAACAUAUAAACCACGCUAGGCAACUCGCCUAGCGAGGGCACUUGCAUCCCGCUUUUGAUCUCGUUCGCUCGAUCUGCCUCGCUGGAGGUUUUUCACCCCGGUGUCAAAAAUCCCACGGCUUGUUUCUUUCCACACCACUCUUUCUUGCUCAAGCGGAUGACAAGUGAGCCUUCGUCUCUUACGGGCCUAGCUUGGAAGUGCGCGUGCUGUGUGUUCGUCGCCCGCGCCUUGCGUGAAAAAUACAUUAACCGCGCCCAUCGUGGAUGAUUCACCCACCAAUCCCGUGUCCUCCCCCCGCUCAUCCUCUCCAGACGCCGCCGCCGCCGCCACCGCCGCCGCCACCCCUGUCUCUCCUCCUCUCUCCUCAUCACCAUCAUCACGCGUGCCCACCCAACGAAUCAGGUGGCCAGUGCGGGAUGCAAUGGCGCAUCUGGCCAGAGGAGAACGGAGCGGCUGCAUCUCCUGGCAACGGCAGUGGGGGCGGGCGAGGUUGCAAGGUGACGGGCUGAGGCGGCUGCGGUGCCAGCGGAUGGAGGAGCCGCUCUCAGGUCGAGUUGGGGCUGGCAAGACUGCAGGGCGACGGCCCCAGGCGGGGGUGCAAGGAUCCGGUCGGUGUGCUGUUGCUGCCGCCGACGGACAGAAGAGGCGCCCUCGGCCGGGUCGAAGUGGCAGCGCUGUCGGUGAUGCCAAGGGGCAAGGAAAUGGGCAAGCGAGACCAGAGAGGGAAGGAACAGGGCGUGGCCUCACACUCGUCGUCAGCUUCACCGUUACUUGCAGCUGAAGAAGACAGAUACCAGCAGCCGAUGGCGCCGUCCCAGCUGGUGUUGCUUACCACAGGCUCUGAGCCAAGUUUGCGAGAUUUACAGACUUGAUGCAGUAACACUGUAAAUAGGUAUAGAUUCAGACCUCACCAAAGACAUGUUCAUCCUAUUGCUUGCGUCGGUAUUCCAUAGAUUAUCUGCCCUGUAUGCCUAUUGCUUUCCUAGCUUGGUAAGUUUGUUAGCCUGAAUUUUUUGAGGUGAAUAUGCUAAGUUUACAUGUUGUAAAUAGAUUAUGAUCUAAUAGCCAGCAAUCUCUCGGCACAUUCGCUCACAGUAGUUUGUGUCAUUGAUGUUUUUCUUAAUCUACACAUGCGCUUGUAUCAUGCCCCUCAUAUAUUAGAAUAGAUCAGUUUUGUUCUAAGGUUUUAUUCAUUUAUUUAUUUCUGCGAGGUGGCUAUCCAGUAUUCAAAUUAACCAGACCAUUUUUUACUUACCUAUAGACCAUUUUAGAUCUACUCUGACAACCAAUACGGCCUUCAAGUCCACUAGAAGAAGCAGCUUGUGAAGCAUCCAAGUGGUUAGCCUAGAGCACAUGAAACAAUUACCAGCUCAUCAAAAUUUAUAGCUGAAGUUAGGUAAAAAAAUUAGUAACAGUGAUCAAGUGGAUGUACACCCAACUGGAUUUAUAGCUGAAGCAGAAAUAAAAGGAAACUAGCAACAAAAUAGAUGUGUUACACGAGAUCUGACUUAAAAUGGCAGAUUGCUUGAAGUUGCAGAACUAGCUAACUUGAAAUUACCUCAGGACCAAGGGGGUCUUCUGGGUGUCUUUCUCUACGUACAGGUGAAUAUUUAUAUCCAGAGGAUCCAAUGGCACCAUUCAGAGUGACAUUAGCUGUUUGCUGAAUGUUAUUUUUAUCAGAUGCAUUAUCCCCUUGAGUUAUAGCCUAUAGUUCCUCACUUCCUUCGAAGUUCUUGCAAUCCAUACAUUUACAAUUCUUGGAGCAAAGAAUAUUUGCUUGAAAGCAUUCACAGUACUUCUUGAGACGCCCUGAUUUUUUGCAGUGCCAGCCUUUAUUAUGUUUGGGAAGUGAAGGUGCUCUAGCAUCCUGAUGGCAGCGAAGAUUAGUCAAAUGCACGAAAAAGAAUCACAAGAAAGUAUUUUAUUUAAAUGCAGUAAACUUAUUUUUGAGUAAUCAUGUUCUUUUUCUGUUUUCCAGGAAGGUACAAAGGCUAAGGUAAAAAAUGAUUUUAGUGGGAGAUUCAACCUGGGAGAGGUGCGCAGAACUACUCAAGAAAAGAGUUGCAUCCCAGGUGUGCUGAGGUGAUAACAACUGAAUUCUGUUCUACUGCAGAUAGAUUCCGUAUUCACUUAUAUUUGCAUGGGCCCAAGGAUAGUUCUCUUUAUGUUGUAGUACCACUUACAAAUGUAUAUUCUGUGAAAGGAAGCGGAUAAUUUAAAUGGGCCCAAGGGACUUGUGGUGAGGCCUACAAGGCUGGAACACUGUCUGUUGGAUAUUUAUUUGUCAACUAAUACAUGACCAUACUAGAGAAGCACACACCACGCACACACAAGGACCCUAACAGGUUGUAUAUAUGUAUGUGGACGAUCUUUAAAUACCUGGAUGAUAAUCAUUUAAAUACCUGAAUGAUUAUUCCGCAUAAACAAAGUCAUAUUGUCAUUUUUAACACAAGAACAAAGCGGUGUCCCAUAACACAAAUAGGUACUGUUUGUGCUGAGUAGCAAAUUCAUUUAUUAGUUAUCUGGCAUCAAGAAGAGCAAACACCAAUGCGGCGAGACAUACCU